GCCCAGGUAGCUCAGUCGGUAGAGCAGGGGAUUGAAAAUCCCCGUGUCGGCAGUUCGAUUCUGUCCCUGGGCA
rnacentral:tRNA from 2 species